rnacentral:rRNA from 1 species
CGGGGUUCGAUUAGCCAUGCGAGUCGAGAGGGUUCGGCCCUCGGCGUACUGCUCAGUAACACGUGGAUAACCUGCCCUAGGGAAGGGGAUAACCCCGGGAAACUGGGGAUAAUACCCUAUAGAUUACAGAUGCUGGAAUGCCCUGUAAUCCAAAGUUCCGACGCCCUAGGAUGGAUCUGCGGCCGAUUAGGUUGUUGUUGGGGUAAUGGCCCAACAAGCCCGUAAUCGGUACGGGUUGUGGGAGCAAGAGCCCGGAGUUGGAUUCUGAGACACGAAUCCAGGCCCUACGGGGCGCAGCAGGCGCGAAAACUUUACAAUGCGGGCAACCGUGAUAAGGGAACCUCGAGUGCCUGUAAAUGCAGGCUGUUCAGGUGCCUAAAACACACCUGAAGAAAGGGCCGGGCAAGACCGGUGCCAGCCGCCGCGGUAAUACCGGCGGCUCGAGUGGUGGCCGCUUUUAUUGGCUUAAAGCGUUCGUAGCUGGGUUGUUAAGUCUCUUGGGAAAUCUGGCGGCUUAACCGUCAGGCGUCUAAGGGAUACUGGCAAUCUUGGAACCGGGAGAGGUGAGGGGUACUUCGGGGGUAGGAGUGAAAUCCUGUAAUCCUCGAGGGACCACCUGUGGCGAAGGCGCCUCACCAGAACGGCUUCGACAGUGAGGGACGAAAGCCGGGGGAGCAAACCGGAUUAGAUACCCGGGUAGUCCCAGCCGUAAACUAUGCGCGUUAGGUGUAUCGGUGACCACGAGUUACCGAGGUGCCGAAGGGAAACCGUGAAACGUGCCGCCUGGGAAGUACGGUCGCAAGGCUGAAACUUAAAGGAAUUGGCGGGGGAGCACCACAACAGGUGGAGCCUGCGGUUUAAUUGGACUCAACGCCGGGAAGCUCACCGGAUAAGACAGCAGAAUGAUUGCCGGGCUGAAGACUCUGCAUGACUAGCUGAGAGGGGGUGCAUGGCCGUCGUCAGUUCGUACUGUGAAGCAUCCUGUUAAGUCAGGCAACGAGCAAGACCCACGCCAACAGUUGCCAGCAUGGUCUCCGGACUGAUGGGGACACUGUUGGGACCGCCUCUGCUAAAGAGGAGGAAGGAAUGGGCAACGGUAGGUCAGCAUGCCCCGAAUUAUCCGGGCUACACGCGGGCUACAAUGGGCAGGACAAUGGGAAUCGACACCGAAAGGUGAAGGCAAUCUCCUAAACCUGUCCCUAGUUCGGAUUGUGGGCUGCAACUCGCCCACAUGAAGCUGGAAUCUGUAGUAAUCGCGUUUCAAAAUAACGCGGUGAAUUUGUCCCUGCUCCUUGCACACACCGCCCGUCAAACCACCCGAGUGGGGUUGGAUGAGGUUGCGGUUGUGCCGCAGUCG